CCUUUUCAUUGGGUUAUAACGUAGGGGAACUUACGCUAAUACCCCAUACGACCUUCGGGUGAGAGCUUCGGACCUUCGGCUCUUGCACGAAUCUAUGAGCCAAUGUCUGAUUAGCUAGUUGGCGGGGUAAAGGCCCACCAAUGCGACGAUCCGUAGCUGGUCUGAUAGGAUGAUCUGCCACUCUGAAACUGACACAAGGCCCACACUCCGACGCGAUGGAGCAUUUUGGAAUAUUGGACAAUGGCUGAUAGCCUGAUCCAGCCUUACCGCGUGGGUUAAUAAGGUCUUCGGGUUGUAUAGCCCUUUUGUUGGGAAAGAAAAGCAGUCGAUUAAUACUCGGUUGUUCUGACCGUACCCAAAGAAUAAGCACCGGCUAACUUCAUGCCCGCAGCCGCGGUAAUACGAAAGGUGCAAGCGUUACUCUGAAUUACUAGGCCUAGAGCGUGCGUAUGUGGUUG
rnacentral:rRNA from 1 species